UACGUAGGUGACCAGCGUUGUCCGGAUUUACUGGGCGUAAAGAGCGCGCAGGCGGUCGUUCAAGUCGAGUGUGAAAGCCCCCGGCUCAACUGGGGAGGGUCACUCGAUACUGAUCGACUUGAAGGCAGGAGAGGGAAGCGGAAUUCCCGGUGUAGUGGUGAAAUGCGUAGAUAGUCAGGAAGAACACCCGUGGCGAAGGCGGCUCUCUGGGACGGUACUGACGCUGAGACGCGAAAGCGUGGGGAGCGAACAGG
rnacentral:rRNA from 1 species